rnacentral:rRNA from 1 species
CGCGGCCUAUCAGCUUGUUGGUGGGGUAACGGCUCACCAAGGCGACGAUGGAUAGCCGACCUGAGAGGGUGAUCGGCCACACUGGGACUGAGAUACGGCCCAGACUCUUACGGGAGGUAGCAGUGGGGAAUUUUGCGCAAUGGGGGAAACCCUGACGCAGCGACGCCGCGUGGAGGAUGAAGGCCCUUGGGUUGUAAACUCCUGUCAGGAAGGACGAACGGCAGGGUAGUUAAUACCUGCUCUGUUUGACGGUACUUCCAGAGGAAGCUCCGACUAACUCCGUGCCAGCAGCCGCGGUAAGACGGAGGGAGCAAGCGUUGCUCGGAAUCACUGGGUGUAAAGGGCGUGUAGGCGGGAUGGUCAGUCGGAUGUGAAAGCCCCGGGCUCAACUCGGGAAGUGCAUUCGAUACUGCCGUUCUUGAGUGUGGUAGAGGAGAGCGGAAUUCCUGGUGUAGCGGUGAAAUGCGUAGAUAUCAGGAAGAACACCUGUGGCGAAGGCGGCUCUCUGGACCAAUACUGACGCUGAGGCGCGAAAGCUAGGGGAGCGAACGGGAUUAGAUACCCCGGUAGUCCUAGCCGUAAACGAUGGGCACUAGGUGCGGGAGGCGUUGACCCCUUCUGUGCCGGAGCUAACGCAUUAAGUGCCCCGCCUGGGGAGUACGG